UCUGGUUGGCUCGGUGUACCCGCGCACCCGCGCCUGGCCAGCUCAGGGGCCUGAGGGCCCUGGGGCCGACUCCGCACAAUGGAGGGUUCCACUGCGCAGGAAACACGUGUCCUGCUUUAUGCCUUCAUGACACCGCUCUCAGAAGUUGUCUUGUUGAUAUAUUCGUUUGCCUCGUCCCUCCCAAAAGUAAACGGCAUCGGAGCGGAGACCAUGUCUUGAUCACCACCUUCUCCUCGAUCUGAAGGUGUCUGAAGAGAUCUGGGGAGUGACUGUAAUUUUUAAGACUGGCAGUUUACCUGAGAGGAGGAAGAACAUGAUAGUAACUGGGAUUUGCAAAGUGCCAGAAUCCGCUUCACGGAGGGUCUGGGUGGUACACCUGUGCCUGGAAGAGAAGCAAAGUCAGUAUCCUAGUUGGAUGUUUUCCUCUGGUGUGGUUUCCUGUGUUGGACAAUUGCCUCACAUCUCUGGAGAUUCUCAGAUUUCUGUUCACAGUGAACCAUGAGGAUUCCAAAGGCUGACAGGAAGCUCCUGUGUAUGUGCAGGGCUUGCUUACCUGCUAGGCUUCUUUGAAUGGUGAGGGAGUGGCCAGCUGUUAGCAUCUGGAAUUCCUUUCUCUGGGGCUAUUCAGUUGCUCAAAGAAUACCCCAGUCUUCUACAUGGCUGUCAGCCUUCUGGAAGCAAGGCAGACAAAGAAGGCUUGGGUGAAGGGAAAGGCUGAAUCCCAAAUGUGUAGAAUUUUCCUUUCUCCUCCUCUCUCCAGCUUCUCGCCUCACCCUCAUUGCUGGGUGUCCUGGGUCUGCUGAAAGGCUGUUUAAUCUUUCCAGAGAAAAGUCCCUAAUUGGUCUCCCUGCUUCUGCCCUUGCCUCCCCUCCAGUCUGUUUUCAACUUAGAGCUGGAAUGGUCCUGUUAAAAUGUGGGUCAGAUCAGGUCACUCCUCUGCGUAAAAUUCUCAGAUGCUUUUCCGUCUCAAUAGAGUUAAAAACUAAAGGUCCCCUGCCCUCCAUGCUUACUUCUUGUCUUAUUACUUUCCCGUUUUCUCUCACCCCAUUCCAGCCAUGCUGGCCGCCUUACUGUCACUAGAACACACCAGGUAGGCUCCUGCCUUACGGCCUCUGCACUUGCUGUUCCAUUGACAUGGAAUGUGCAUUCACAGAUAUUUACAUGGCUUGCUCCCUCGCUCCUUUGGGUCUUCACUCAAAUGUCUCUUCUUAGUACAGCUUUCCCUGGCAGCCCUAACUAAAAUUGCAGCCCCUAGCCCCCAACAUACACACACUAUCUCCUUAUUUUGCUUUAUUUUUCCCUUAAGUAGAAUCCCCAUCUGAUACACAAUAGUAUAUGUUUUCCUUCUUUUUGAAGUUGUUAGUUUACCGUCUGUCUGUUGUUGGUUUGCUGUUACUGUCUGUCUGUCUUCCACUAGGAAGUAACCCCCACGAAGGCAGGAAUUCAUUGCUCAAUUCACCAACAUCUAGAACAGAGCCUGGCACACAAGAGGCAUUUAAUAACUGUAUGUGAAUGAAAUAAAUAAGAAUAAAUAAAUGAAGUGA